AUGAACGCUAGCUACAGGCUUAACACAUGCAAGUCGAGGGGCAGCAUGAACUUAGCUUGCUAAGUUUGAUGGCGACCGGCGCACGGGUGAGUAACACGUAUCCAACCUGCCGAUGACUCGGGGAUAGCCUUUCGAAAGAAAGAUUAAUACCCGAUGGCAUAGUUCUUCCGCAUGGUAGAACUAUUAAAGAAUUUCGGUCAUCGAUGGGGAUGCGUUCCAUUAGGUUGUUGGCGGGGUAACGGCCCACCAAGCCUUCGAUGGAUAGGGGUUCUGAGAGGAAGGUCCCCCACAUUGGAACUGAGACACGGUCCAAACUCCUACGGGAGGCAGCAGUGAGGAAUAUUGGUCAAUGGACGAGAGUCUGAACCAGCCAAGUAGCGUGAAGGAUGACUGCCCUAUGGGUUGUAAACUUCUUUUAUACGGGAAUAAAGUGAGGCACGUGUGCCUUUUUGUAUGUACCGUAUGAAUAAGGAUCGGCUAACUCCGUGCCAGCAGCCGCGGUAAUACGGAGGAUCCGAGCGUUAUCCGGAUUUAUUGGGUUUAAAGGGAGCGUAGGCGGACGCUUAAGUCAGUUGUGAAAGUUUGCGGCUCAACCGUAAAAUUGCAGUUGAUACUGGGUGUCUUGAGUACAGUAGAGGCAGGCGGAAUUCGUGGUGUAGCGGUGAAAUGCUUAGAUAUCACGAAGAACUCCGAUUGCGAAGGCAGCUUGCUGGACUGUAACUGACGCUGAUGCUCGAAAGUGUGGGUAUCAAACAGGAUUAGAUACCCUGGUAGUCCACACAGUAAACGAUGAAUACUCGCUGUUUGCGAUAUACAGUAAGCGGCCAAGCGAAAGCGUUAAGUAUUCCACCUGGGGAGUACGCCGGCAACGGUGAAACUCAAAGGAAUUGACGGGGGCCCGCACAAGCGGAGGAACAUGUGGUUUAAUUCGAUGAUACGCGAGGAACCUUACCCGGGCUUGAAUUGCAACUGAAUGAUGUGGAGACAUGUCAGCCGCAAGGCAGUUGUGAAGGUGCUGCAUGGUUGUCGUCAGCUCGUGUCGUGAGAUGUUGGGUUAAGUCCCGCAACGAGCGCAACCCCUAUCUUAUGUUACCAGCACGUUAUGGUGGGGACUCAUGAGAGACCGCCGCGGACAACGCGGAGGAAGGUGGGGAUGACGUCAAAUCAUCAUGCCCUUUAUGUCUUGGGCUACACACGUACUACAAUGGCUAUAACAAAGAGAAGCGAGACAGUGAUGUGGAGCAAAACUCAAAAAAAUAGUCUCAGUUCGGAUUGAAGGCUGAAAUUCGCCUUCAUGAAGCUGGAAUUGCUAGUAAUGGCAGGUCAGCAUACUGCCGUGAAUACGUUCCCGGGCCUUGUACACACCGCCCGUCACACCAUGGGAGUGGAAAAUGCCCGAAGUCGGUGACCUAACGAAAGGAGGAGCCGCCGAAGGCAGGUUUGAUAACUGGGGUG
rnacentral:rRNA from 1 species